rnacentral:rRNA from 1 species
UGCGCAGGCGGCUUAUUAAGUCAGUGGUGAAAUCUCUCGGCUCAACCGAGAAACUGCCAUUGAAACUGAUAAGCUUGAGUGUAGUUGUAGUAGGCGGAAUAUAGCAUGUAGCGGUGAAAUGCUUAGAUAUGCUAUAGAACACCGAUCGCGAAGGCAGCUUACUAAACUAUCACUGACGCUCAUGCACGAAAGCGUGGGGAGCAAACAGGAUUAGAUACCCCGGUAGUCC